GACGAACGCUGGCGGCGUGCCUAACACAUGCAAGUCGAACGGAGUAAUUGCUUCGGUGAUUACUUAGUGGCGAACGGGUGAGUAACGCGUGAGAAACCUGCCUUUCAGUGGGGGACAACAGUUGAAAACGACUGCUAAUACCGCAUAAUGUUUCGAGAGGGCAUCCUCUUGAAACCAAAGCUUUAUGUGCUGAAAGAUGGUCUCGCGUCUGAUUAGCUAGUUGGUGAGGUAACGGCUCACCAAGGCGACGAUCAGUAGCCGGUCUGAGAGGAUGAACGGCCACAUUGGGACUGAGAUACGGCCCAGACUCCUACGGGAGGCAGAAGUGGGGAAUAUUGGGCAAGGGGGGAAACCCUGACCCAGCAACGCCGCGUGAAGGAAGAAGGCCUUCGGGUUGUAAACUUCUUUUAGCAGGGACGAAGAACGUGACGGUACCUGCAGAAAAAGCAACGGCUAACUACGUGCCAGCAGCCGCCGUAAGAC
rnacentral:rRNA from 1 species